rnacentral:ncRNA from 1 species
UGGUCCUAGCCUUGAAAUCAGCUAUUACUCAGCUUAUACAUGCAAGUCUCCGCACCCCUGUGAGAACGCCCUUAUAUCCCUCUAGGGAUCAGGAGCCGGUAUCAGGCUCUAACUGUUUAGCCCAAGACACCUAGCCAUGCCACACCCACAAGGGUAUACAGCAGUGAUUAAUAUUGACCAUAAGCGAAAGCUUGACUCAGCCAGAGUAAACAGGGCCGGCAAAUCUGGUGCCAGCCGCCGCGGCCAUACCAGGUGGCCCAAGCUGACUUCACCCGGCGUAAAGCGUGAUUAAAGUACCCUAAAACUGCAGUAAAACCAGAACUAGGUCGUGAUAAUCCUGAGCCUGGGAACCUCGAAAACGAAAGUAACUGCAUCAUAACCCACUUGACCUCACGACAGCUAGAAUACAAACUGGGAUUAGAUACCCCACUAUGCCUAGCCGUAAACCUUAACUUACACCCAAAUCGCCAGGGAACUACGAGCAAUGCUUAAAACCCAAAGGACUUGACGGUGCCCCAUAUCCACCUAGAGGAGCCUGUCCUAUAAUCGAUAACCCUCGUUAAACCUCACCACUCCUUGCUUUACAGCCUGUAUACCUCCGUCGUCAGCUUACCACGUGAGCGACCCCCCAGUAAGCGAGAGGGCCUACACCAAAACGUCAGGUCAAGGUGCAGCUCAUGGGGUGGGAAGAGAUGGGCUACACUUUCUAACCUAGAAGAAACGAAAGACUACACAUGAAACAUAGUCAGAAGGCGGAUUUAGUAGUAAAGGGGAACAAGAAUGCCCCCUUUAACACGGCCCUGGGGCGUGUACACACCGCCCGUCACCCUCUUCGAAGCGAUAAAAACAGUAUUUAACACUAUUUAGCUACAAAGAAGAGGCAAGUCGUAACAUGGUAAGCUUACCGGAAGGUGUGCUUGGAAA